rnacentral:rRNA from 1 species
GGUGAACGCUGGCGGCGUGCUUAAGACAUGCAAGUCGAACGGGCUCUUCGGAGCCAGUGGCGCACGGGUGAGUAACGCGUAACUGACCUACCCCAAAGUCGCGGAUAACGAUUCGAAAGAAUCGCUAAUACGUGAUGUGCUGUCAGAUCCUGUUCUGCCAGUAAAGAUUUAUUGCUUUGGGAUGGGGUUGCGUUCCAUCAGCUAGUUGGUGGGGUAAAGGCCCACUAAGGCGACGACGGAUCGCCGGCCUGAGAGGGUGGCCGGCCACAGGGGCACUGAGACACGGGUCCCACUCCUACGGGAGGCAGCAGUUAGGAAUCGUCCACAAUGGGCGAAAGCCUGAUGGAGCGACGCCGCGUGAGGGAUGAAGGACUUCGGUUCGUAAACCUCUGAAUCAGGGACGAAAGACGCGAAAGCGGGAUGACGGUACCUGAGUAAUAGCACCGGCUAACUCCGUG